rnacentral:rRNA from 1 species
ACGUGACCGGGGGCAACCCCGCUCCGCACUGCCGCGCUGAGCUGAAGAAGGCCCCCGGGCCGUAAAGCCCCCCCGUCAGGGAAGAAACGGUGGGAGCCAAUAUCCCCUGCCAAUGACGGUACCUGAAGAAUAAGCACCGGCUAACCACGCGCCAGCAGCCGCGGUAAUACGCAGGGUGCAAGCGUUAAUCGGAAUCACUGGGCGUAAAGCGUGCGCAGGCGGUUGUGCAAGACAGAUGUGAAGUCCCUGGGCUCAACCUAGGAAUCGCAUUUGUGACUGCACGGCUAGAGUGUGUCAGAGGGGGGUAGAAUCCCACGUGUAGCAGUGAAAUGCGUAGAUAUGUGGAGGAAUACCGAUGGCGAAGGCAGCCCCCUGGGAUAACACUGACGCUCAUGCACGAAAG